rnacentral:rRNA from 1 species
UACGGAAGGCAGCAGUGGGGAAUAUUGCACAAUGGGCGAAAGCCUGAUGCAGCUAUGCCGCGUGUAUGAAGAAGGCCUUCGGGUUGUAAAGUACUUUCAGUCGUGAGGAAGGUGUUAAGGUUAAUAACCUUAGCAAUUGACGUUAGCGACAGAAGAAGCACCGGCUAACUCCGUGCCAGCAGCCGCGGUAAUACGGAGGGUGCGAGCGUUAAUCGGAAUUACUGGGCGUAAAGGGCACGCAGGCGGUUAAUUAAGUUGGAUGUGAAAUCCCCGGGCUUAACCUGGGAAUGGCAUUCAAGACUGGUUAGCUAGAGUCUUGUAGAGGGGGUAGAAUUCCAUGUGUAGCGGUGAAAUGCGUAGAGAUGUGGAGGAAUACCGGUGGCGAAGGCGGCCCCUGGACAAAGACUGACGCUCAUGUGCGAAAGCGUGGGGAGCAAACAGGGAUUAGAUACC